UUGAUAUUAUUAAGUAAUAUAUCACAAUGAGGGAUAAAUAUGUCAUUUAUAGCAUUCUACUAUAACUUAUGCGAUUUAUUGAAGAUCUAUACAUUUUCGAUUUGUUAUUUCAUAAGCGUUUGACCAAUAUCAAAAUAUGAUGCUAUUUUAACGUAUAACUAAUGUAAAUCAUCAAAACUUAAUUAGACACACAUAUAUUCUCUCCCAAAUAUUAAUACAAUAAAAGAUGGGCCGUAGAAACUCACUUUAGUAGCGUGAUCUUGAUCCCGGUUCGUUUUGGUGAAACUUUUUAUGAAUAACUGCGAGGUCACAUUUCUUGGACUUUAAAACAGUUCCAGGUUUGUUUUGGCAUUACUCAAUAUUUGUAGGGGCUGAAUCGGCCAAUAUGAUCAAAUAAAAAGAAUUAGAGCUUUUGUGCCCUCGUCUGAUAAAUCCAAGGAAAUGGAACAUGAAUGAAAGCGAACAGAUACACGAACGAAGCACACAAGCGCGUCCGAUGAUUCAUCUACCGAGAAGGAAAUAGGAGAACGGGGGCAGCUUAUGCUCCCAGCGACGGGAAAAGGCACCUCCGGUCCCUAGUUUCCUCUGAUCGAGAAGGCUAAUCACGAACGAAGCAGUGACAGGGAAGGCUCGGUGGUGGAAGACCCGUUGAGGAGAAGAGCACCUCCGGUUCCUUAUUGGUUUGUAGAGGGGGAGUAACGAAAGCAGAAAGGGCUGCUUAAACAGCUCCUGCGCUUCUUUUGUCUCGGAAGGAAGGUGCGAAGGUGGGGAAUCAAAAGGGGGCUUCUGUCUCCGAUGUUUGCUCCGGGCAAACACCCACUUCGGUCGGUUUUGCUCUCGGUGGUUAAAAGAACUCAUUGGGAAUUGGAUGUUUGGGUUUGCUUUUGACAUAAAUCGAUAUAGAGAAAGGAUGUUUGGGUUGUUUUUGUGUUCACAGGGGUGUUUGUGGGAUUGGCACUCGACAGAAGUGGGAUGAGGAGGAGGACUGCCGUAGCGGCCGGCAGCCUCUUCUUUUGGCCGGUGGUGAACAGGGGGAAAGAAGGAGGGCAAUGUUGUAGACAUCGAUCAAGAGGGGGUGUUUUGGUAGCUCCAAUCGACAGGAAAGGGGGUAGAAGAGAGGCUGUCGCCUCCUUGUUUUCACCGGGAAUCAACACACCUCGUGUGUGUUUCUGAACAGCCAAUCUGUGAAAAAAAAUAAAAGAGAGGGGUCGAGAGUUUUUGUAGGAAUAAGGUGAGAAUGAUUAAUUUCUGCAAUAUGCGAUCUUCACUCAGAUUUUGGAAGACUUUUUGAUGGAUUUGUGGUACAUGGAAAUUUUUGGAAGGAUUUUGAGAGUACAAUACAUUCAUUGAUUCAUGUGUGUAUAAGUAUGAUGUAUUGAUUGUGUAUUUGUUUGUAUAAAUAGAAUACAUGAGUUUGUGUGUGA